AACGAACGCUGGCGGCAUGCCUAACACAUGCAAGUCGAACGAGAUCUUCGGGUCUAGUGGCGCACGGGUGCGUAACGCGUGGGAAUCUGCCCUUCGGUUCGGAAUAACAGUUGGAAACGACUGCUAAUACCGGAUGAUGACGAAAGUCCAAAGAUUUAUCGCCAGAGGAUGAGCCCGCGUAGGAUUAGCUAGUUGGUGUGGUAAAGGCGCACCAAGGCGACGAUCCUUAGCUGGUCUGAGAGGAUGAUCAGCCACACUGGGACUGAGACACGGCCCAGACUCCUACGGGAGGCAGCAGUGGGGAAUAUUGGACAAUGGGCGAAAGCCUGAUCCAGCAAUGCCGCGUGAGUGAUGAAGGCCUUAGGGUGUAAAGCUCUUUUACCCGGGAUGAUAAUGACAGUACCGGGAGAAUAAGCUCCGGCUAACUCCGUGCCAGCCGCCGCAGUAA
rnacentral:rRNA from 1 species